rnacentral:lncRNA from 1 species
CAAUCGAGCUUCUACAAUAAGCGGCCUCCUUUCGGCCUUCUACAAGAACUGAACUCCGUCUGAACUUCCAUAGUGGAUGGAUCUCAAACGAACUUCUAUAAUAGACAGGCUCCAGCAGCUGGAUUUCCACAACAGCCGACCACCUCUGAUGUCUGUCGAACCUCUCCAGCCAUCAACCUUCAAUAGCGUCAGUCAGACUUCAACAACACCCUUCGGACUUCCACAGGAUCCUCCAGACUCCUCCAGCGGACGAACCUCCCCAACGCCCCUCGAAGUCCACCACCGGCCAACCCUCUGCUAGAUUCUUCAUGAAAUCGAACUUCCCCAAUAGAAAGUCCCCAUCCGAGCUUCUACAACAGAUGACUCCCGCCUGCAACAUCAAUGCUCUAGGCACCCAACAACAGUAGACCCAUCAGCAACCUCGAAAACAUCCGAGCUUCUCUUAGGAUUGAUGAGACAGAGAGUCAUUCCGCUCCAUCAGAUAUCCCAGUUGAGCUUCAGUCGACAGAUCCAAACUCUCUGGCAAGUCACAACAAUGGCCACUACCCUACUCCACUCUCAGUAAUGGAUUCCAUGUGGCUCCACCACUCUCUGGCAAGUCGCGACAACGGACACCACUCCACUCUCCGUAACAAACUCCACAUGGCCCUGAACGGCCCACUACCAGGCGGUUACAGACAUUGCUACCAAUC